UCUGGUUGAUCCUGCCAGUAGUCAUAUGCUUGUCUCAAAGAUUAAGCCAUGCAUGUCUAAGUAUAAAUAGUAUACAGUGAAACUGCGAAUGGCUCAUUAAAACAGUUAUAGUUUAUUUGAUAAUUGACAAUUACAUGGAUAACCGUGGUAAUUCUAGAGCUAAUACAUGCUUAAACGCCCGACUUUAUGGAAGGGUGGUAUUUAUUAGACUGAAGCCAAUAUUCCUUGUGUCUAUUGCGGUGAUUCAUAAUAACUGAUCGAAUCUCUUUUUGAGAUAAAUCAUUCAAGUUUCUGCCCUAUCAGCUUUCGAUGGUAGUGUAUUGGACUACCAUGGCAGUAACGGGUAACGAAGAAUUGGGGUUCGAUUUCGGAGAGGGAGCAUGAGAAACGGCUACCACAUCUAAGGAAGGCAGCAGGCGCGUAAAUUACCCAAUCCUGACUCAGGGAGGUAGUGACAAGAAAUAGCAAACCGGGAACCUCAUGGUUUCACGGUAUUGCAAUGAGAACAAUUUAAAACCCUUAGCGAGAAUCAAGUGGAGGACAAGUCUGGUGCCAGCACCCGCGGUAAUUCCAGCUCCACUAGCGUAUAUUAAAGUUGUUGCAGUUAAAAAGCUCGUAGUUGAACCUCUGUCUGGGGCUAGUUUUGGCUUUGGUCAGGCUAGUUCUAGGCAUCCGCCUACAAGACUUAGAGGGCAUUCAGUUGUUCACUAGGAGGAGUAGGCAUUUUACUUUGAAAAAAUUAGAGUGUUUAAGGCAGGCAAUCGCCCGCAUAUAUUAGCAUGGAAUAAUAGAAUAGGACACUUUUCCAUUUCGUUGGUUAUUGGAAUCGUGUAAUGAUUAAUAGGGACAGUUGUGGGCAUUUGUAUUUAAUUGUCAGAGGUGAAAUUCUUGGAUUUAUUAAAGACAAACUAACGCGAAAGCAUUUGCCAAGGAUGUUUUCAUUAAUCAAGAACGAAAGUUAGGGGAUCAAAGACGAUCAGAUACCGUCCUAGUCUUAACUAUAAACUAUUCCGACUCAAUGUUUGACUGGCUUAUAUAACCAGUUGAGCGUUGUAUGAGAAAUCAAAGUCUUUAGGUUCUGGGGGGAGUAUGGUUGCAAGGCUGAAACUUAAAGGAAUUGACGGAAGAGCACAACCAGGAGUGGAUUCUGCGGCUUAAUUUGACUCAACACGAGGAAACUUACCAGGUUAAAACAAUAGUGGGAUUGACAGUUUGAGAGCGCUUUCUUGAUUGGUUGGGUGGUGGUGCAUGGCCGUUCUUAGUUGGUGGAGUGAUUUGUCUGCUUAAUUGCGUUAACGAACGAGACCUUAACCUGCUUACUAGAC
rnacentral:rRNA from 1 species